rnacentral:rRNA from 1 species
ACUCCUACGGGAGGCUGCAGUGGGGAAUAUUGGACAAUGGGCGGAAGCCUGAUCCAGCAACGCCGCGUGAGGGAUGACGGCCUUCGGGUUGUAAACCUCUUUCAGUAGGGACGAAGCGCAAGUGACGGUACCUACAGAAGAAGCACCGGCCAACUACGUGCCAGCAGCCGCGGUAAUACGUAGGGUGCGAGCGUUGUCCGGAAUUAUUGGGCGUAAAGGGCUCGUAGGCGGUUUGUCGCGUCGGGAGUGAAAACACCGGGCUUAACUCGGUGCUUGCUUUCGAUACGGGCAGGCUAGAGGUAUGCAGGGGAGAACGGAAUUCCUGGUGUAGCGGUGAAAUGCGCAGAUAUCAGGAGGAACACCGGUGGCGAAGGCGGUUCUCUGGGCAUUACCUGACGCUGAGGAGCGAAAGUGUGGGGAGCGAACAGGAUUAGAUACCCUGGUAGUCCACACCGUAAACGUUGGGCGCUAGGUGUGGGGCCUAUUCCAUGGGUUCCGUGCCGCAGCUAACGCAUUAAGCGCCCCGCCUGGGGAGUACGGCCGCAAGGCUAAAACUCAAAGGAAUUGACGGGGGCCCGCACAAGCGGCGGAGCAUGCGGAUUAAUUCGAUGCAACGCGAAGAACCUUACCUGGGUUUGACAUAUGCCGGAAAGCCAUAGAGAUAUGGCCCCUUUUGUCGGUAUACAGGUGGUGCAUGGCUGUCGUCAGCUCGUGUCGUGAGA